GUGUUCACUUCAGCAGCACAUAUACUAAAAUUGAACAGAUACAGAGGAGAUUAGCAUGGCCCCUGAACAAGAAUGACAUGCAAAUUCGUGAAGCGUUCCAUUAUUUU